rnacentral:rRNA from 1 species
GUGCGAACGUUGUUCGGAAUUACUGGGCGUAAAGCGCGUGUAGGCGGCAGCGUGUGUCGGGCGUGAAAUCCCACGGCUCAACCGUGGAAGUGCACUCGAAACUGCGCAGCUAGAGUCCUGGAGAGGAAGGUGGAAUGCUUGGUGUAGAGGUGAAAUUCGUAGAUAUCAAGCGGAACACCGGUGGCGAAGGCGGCUUCCUGGACCGACACUGACGCUGAGGCGCGAAAGCUAGGGGAGCAAACGGG